AUAAAUGAUGAUUUAGAACGAUACAGAGAAGAUUAGCAUGGCCCCUGCACUAGAACCUCACGCAAAUUCGUGAAGCAUUCCAUAUUUUU
rnacentral:snRNA from 1 species